AGAGUUUGAUCAUGGCUCAGGACGAACGCUGGCGGCGUGCUUAACACAUGCAAGUCGAACGGUAAGGCCCCUUCGGGGGUACACGAGUGGCGAACGGGUGAGUAACACGUGAGCAACCUGCCCUUGACUCUGGGAUAACAGUUGGAAACAGCUGCUAAUACCGGAUACGACCCUGGAUGACAUCGUCCGGGGUGGAAAGCGCUUUAGCGGUCAAGGAUGGGCUCGCGGCCUAUCAGCUUGUUGGUGAGGUAACGGCUCACCAAGGCUUCGACGGGUAGCCGGCCUGAGAGGGCGACCGGCCACACUGGGACUGAGAUACGGCCCAGACUCCUACGGGAGGCAGCAGUGGGAAUAUUGCACAAUGGGCGCAAGCCUGAUGCAGCAACGCCGCGUGCGGGAUGACGGCCUUCGGGUUGUAAACCGCUUUCAGUUCCGACGAAGCGCAAGUGACGGUAGGAACAGAAGAAGGACCGGCCAACUACGUGCCAGCAGCCGCGGUAAUACA
rnacentral:rRNA from 1 species